GAAGGGCUGUAGCUCAUUGAUAGAACAUCUGCUUUGCAUGCAGAAAGUCCCUGGUUCAAUCCCAGCAUCUUCA